rnacentral:lncRNA from 1 species
CCCGUUUCUACUAAAACAUACAAAAAAUUAGCCGGGCGUGGUGGCGGGCGCCUGUAGUCCUCUGUCUUAGAUCUGGACAUCCCUCUUGUCUGUUAUUCACAUUGCUGCUAUAGUCAUCACACUGCUGCUAUAAUCAUCACACUGCUAUCAAUACUAUAUAUAGCACAAUCCAAAGAGCAUUUCCUGGUUAGGAUGGCAGCAUGAACACAGCUGUCUAAAACCUCAAUUAACAUCUUCCUAUUGAAAUUCAAGAAUGGUUUAACCCCAGAAUUGGUACUAGAAACUAUGGAAGGGUACCAUUGACCUGUCACAACACUCAAGAGAUUCCUAAUAGUUUUAGGGCAAAUGGAGCCACGUUGAGGAAAAAGUCAAGAGAACCUGCUCUUAUGAAAUAACAGAGGAGGCCAGGCACAGUGGCUCACGCCUGUAAUCCCUGCACUUUGGGAGGCCGAGGCUGGUGGUUCACCUGAGGUCUGAAGUUCGAGACCAGCCUGGCCAACAUGAUGAAAA